GAGCCAAGCACAAGCAUUGCAGCUGUGCUGGGAACAAACAUUUUCUCCUCCCCAUUUCAGUCUCUGCUCCCCUUGCAGAGUCCUUGCUGGCAGCUCUGCUCUCUGAAGUCUCUGAGGGGAUUCGUGGGGGUUUCUCAGUCUUUUUCACUCCUGCAGGAUGAGUGGUCACAGCAGGCGCCUCACAUAUCUCCUCCUCACUGCCUUCCUGAGGCAGCCACUGGGCACCCUGGGGCAGAUCACCGUCACCCAGCAAGAAGGACCAGUCACACUGAAACAGGGAGACACCUUUCAAACAAACUGCACUUACCAGACUUCCAACUUUUAUGGCUUAUUUUGGUACCAGCAGAGGAAAGGCCAGGCUCCCCAGCUGGUCUCCUAUCAGGCAGGAUCUGGCUCCAAGCGGAAUGGCCGUUUCACCACAUCCCUGAACCCCACAGAGAAAUCCAGCCUCCUGCAGCUGGAGGAAGUCGAAGGCUCUGACAGCGCCGUGUACCUCUGUGCUGUGCAGGACACGCUGGUGCAGGAGCUGCCUGGGCUGGAGCAGCAGGUUCCCAGGGCAGGAGGAGCUGGAGUGCAGCUGAAUGGUGCUGGCCCCCGGCUGCUGGAGAUGUGCCCAGGGCAGAGGCACUGA